rnacentral:sRNA from 1 species
AGGAGGAGCUGAUAUGACGAAGUCAUUAUAUUGAAUGGCUCUGACUGAAAUGCCGCCGAACGAAGAUGAGGGGGCGAUACAUAU